UCAAAAACAUGUCCUAUUGAUUAUAAUUUUAGGUUUGACCUGCCCCCUGAAUAUUAAAUGGCCGCGGUAUUUUGACUGUGCUAAGGUAGCAUAAUAAUUAGUUUCUUAAUUAGAAGCUGGUAUGAAUGGUUUUAUGAAAAAAAUUCUGUCUCUAUUUAAAUUUAUUAGAAGUUUAUUUUUUAGUAAAAAAGCUAAAAUAGUUUUAAAAGACGAGAAGACCCUAUAGAGUUUUAUAAUAUUUAUAAUUUAAUAUUUAUAAGAAUUUUAAAUUUUUAAUUUGUUUUAUUAUUUAAUUGGGGUGAUUAAAAAAUUUAAUAAACUUUUUUUUAUUAAAUUACAUUGAUUUAUGAAUUUAUGAUCCAUUUUUUAUGAUUAAAAGUUAAAAUUACCUUAGGGAUAACAGCGUAAUUUUUUCAAAGAGUUCAUAUCGAAGAAAAAGAUUGCGACCUCGAUGUUGGAUUAAAAUUAACUUUUGGUGUAGAAGCUAAAUAAUAGUUAGGUCUGUUCGACCUUUAAAAUUUUACAUGAUCUGA
rnacentral:rRNA from 1 species